rnacentral:lncRNA from 1 species
CAUUAUAAAGUUAAGUCAAGAGCAUACCUAAUAAGGUUAAAAAUUUUUCCUUUCUCCUACAGAUACCCAACACAGGACAGAGAUAGAGGACAGAGAUACCCAAACACAAUAUUCACAGUUCAUGUAUGUUCACCUAGGUGGUGCAAUGCUAACAUACACCACCAUCAAGUGGACCUCAAAGGAGAGCAAUCUUCACGAGGACAUCGAUGCAACCUCACUAAACUGCAGGAGGAAGAGACAGCUGAUGGACUAGUUCAGGGCAGGGAAAAUCUUUCUAUAAAUGACAACAGAGUAAGUAUGCAACGUGACUUUCUAAAAGCAAACUAUGCAGAAAAUAUAGAAAUCUUUGAUGUGCAAUGUGAAAAUGAUAAGAAAUUGCUGUCUCAUCAUCAACUUCCACUCAAGCCAAGCUACAAAUAACAGCAUUAAUUAUAAUAAGACUUUGUAUGGACCUGCUUCUGCAGGCAGAUUCUGUAGCAGUGUUAUUUGUAAUAUCUGCUGGAGCACCUUACUGUAAUUUGAACACUGUGUAUUUUCAAUUAAUGUUAAAGUUACUGUUCCACGGUAUUUGUACAAGUUAGCUACCUGGGGUUAGUAUUCUUACAAUUUCUCUCUCCCUCAUGCUGUUGCACAUCUUCCUCUCCUUUCCUCACAGGGAAGUAUUACAAAGUUUAGCAAGUGUUCGCUUUCAGGAUUUUAAAUUUAAAUUGUGAAUUAUUUUCUACCCAUGGAUUCAAAGAUACCAGACUUGAAUAUAGUUCACAGAAAAAGAAAGGCCUAUAAAAUUCCUAUAAAAUAGAGAGAAGAAACAUGCUAACUUAAAAGGAAAAGGCAAGAGGGUUAUUUUUAAGCUGAAGGAAUUUUUUUCUGAAUCUUCAACUGGGGAACUAUCUCAUUGGAGGACAUUUACAAGGCAAUGUAAUUUUUUCGUCCUCCAGAUAAGAGUCAGUUAACAAACAAGAAGACAUCAUAGUGAACUUGCAUAUUUCUCAGCUAUUUCCAUUAAAAUGCCAUCUGGCUUAUAACUGGAAUGGAGCGAACUGCAUCCUUCAAUUGGCUGUGUGAUUCUUUUCUUUCUUGUUGAAGUAUCAGAAUGCGGCAGUGAGCCACCACAUUCGGAUGCACAGGAUUGAGUAUAGAAAUGGUAUUAUUCUAGGGGCUGGCCCCGUGGCCGAGUGGUUAAGUUCGCGCGCUCUGCUGCAGGCGGCCCAGUGUUUCGUUGGUUCGAAUCCUGGGCGCGGACAUGGCACUGCUCAUCAAACCACGCUGAGGCAGCGUCCCACAUGCCACAACUAGAAGGACCCACAACGAAGAAUAUACAACUAUGUACCAGGGGGCUUUGGGGAGAAAAAGGAAAAAAAUAAAAAUCUUUAAAAAAAAAAAAAAAGAAAAAAA